AGUGAACGCUGGCGGUAGGCCUAACACAUGCAAGUCGAACGGCAGCACAGGAGAGCUUGCUCUCUGGGUGGCGAGUGGCGGACGGGUGAGGAAUACAUCGGAAUCUACUUUUUCGUGGGGGAUAACGUAGGGAAACUUACGCUAAUACCGCAUACGACCUACGGGUGAAAGCAGGGGAUCUUCGGACCUUGCGCGAUUGAAUGAGCCGAUGUCGGAUUAGCUAGUUGGCGGGGUAAAGGCCCACCAAGGCGACGAUCCGUAGCUGGUCUGGGAGGGUGAGCAGCCACACUGGAACUGAGACACGGUCCAGACUCCUACGGGAGGCAGCAGUGGGGAAUAUUGGACAAUGGGCGCAAGCCUGAUCCAGCCAUACCGCGUGGGUGAAGAAGGCCUUCGGGUUGUAAAGCCCUUUUGUUGGGAAAGAAAUCCAGCUGGUUAAUACCCGGUUGGGAUGACGGUACCCAAAGAAUAAGCACCGGCUAACUUCGUGCCAGCCGCCGCAGUAA
rnacentral:rRNA from 1 species